rnacentral:lncRNA from 1 species
GGAGCAGGUGACUGGUGUCCAGAGUGGCAGGGAGCAGGUGACUGGUGUCCAGAGUGGCAGGGAGCAAGGUGACUGGUGUCCAGACUGGCAGGGAGCAGGUGACUGGUGUCCAGAGUGGCAGGGAGCAAGGUGACUGGUGUCCAGAGUGGCAGGGAGCAGGUGACUGGUGUCCAGAGUGGCAGGGAGCAGGUGACUGGUGUCCAGAGUGGCAGGGAGCAGGCGACUGGAGUCCAGAGUGGCAGGGAGCAGGUGACUGGUGUCCAGAGUGGCAGGGAGCAGGUGACUGGUGUCCAGAGUGGCAGGGAGAAGGUGACUGGUGUCCAGAGUGGCAGGGAGCAGGUGACUGGUGUCCAGAGUGGCAGGGAGCAGGUGACUGGUGUCCAGACUGGCAGGGAGCAAGGUGACUGGUGUCCAGAGUGGCAAGGUGAUUUCUAGGUCAGUAAUUCUGUGCAUUCUGACUGCAAUGUAGUCCAAUCUCAAACAAACACUGAGGUCUAAGGACAAGCUACUGUCACCAAGCUACUGUCACCAAGCUACUGUCACCAGAUUGAUAGUAGGCUGGGCUGUGAUGUACAUUGAGGUGAUACAGUGAGGGGG